rfam:Aureobasidium pullulans var. melanogenum CBS 110374 unplaced genomic scaffold scaffold_30, whole genome shotgun sequence.
GGCGAGAUGGCCGAGCGGUCUAAGGCGCCAGCUUAAGGUUGAUUCAAAUCGAUACGCUGGUCCGAAAGGGCGUGGGUUCAAAUCCCACUCUCGUCA